rnacentral:rRNA from 1 species
CCUACGGGAGGCAGCAGUGGGGGAUAUUGCACAAUGGGGGGAACCCUGAUGCAGCGACGCCGCGUGGGUGAAGGAGGGUUUCGGCGCGUAAAGCUCUAUCGGUAGGGAAGAAGACGUCGGUACCUGACCACUAACUCCUUGCCAACUACGAGCCAGCAGCCGCGGUCAUACGCAGGGGGCAAGGGUUAUCCGGAUCUACGGGGGGUAACGGGGGCGCAGAUGGCUAUGCAAGCCAGGUGUGAAAGCCCGGGGCUCAACCCCGGGACCGCACUUGAGACUUCACGGCUGGAGUACAGGAGGGGCAGGCGGAAUUCCAAGUGUAGCGGUGAAAUGCGUAGAUAUUAGGAGGAACACCGGUGGCGAAGGCGGCCUGCUGGACUGUGACUGACGUUGAGGCCCGAAAGCGUGGGGAGCAAACAGGAUUAGAUACCCUUGUAGUC